rnacentral:lncRNA from 1 species
CAAGAAAAGGCUCAAGUAUUUAAAAAAAUUUACAGGCAUAUGUACAAAAGGUGUGAUUUUUUUUGUUACAACAUGAAGAGAAAAAAGAGACAAGAUGAAAGCAAAUGCAUUUUCACAUUCAAAAGAAAUACGCAGACCUGCUAGUGGCUCUAAACGUGAUCGCAUCAUGAAACGAAGCCGAAACAAAAAUUAAUGCUCGACGGUGUGAAGGUGUGAAACACAGCAGUGGAAUGGAAAUGGAAUGUUAAAAAGAUUGCACGUCUAUGACAAAAGAAGCACUUAUGGCUUCAAUCACUUUUUUUUCUUUCUUUUCUUUUUUUUUUUUCUUUUUUUCUUUUUUUUAAAGGAUGCUAUUGAAGGGUUUUUGAUAAAGUAGCCAACAGCACCAAAAAAUAACAGAAUGGAUUUCCUAAUGAAAUCAGGCACAGUUUUCCCUCACGUGACUCCUCAAGGCAGGCAGUCUUUUUUCCUCCUUUUUUAUUUUUUAUUUUUUUAUUAUUUUUUUUUAUUUUUUUAUUAUUUAUUUUCCCCCUCCAAACAGAUGCAUAGUGAUGUGCUGGUAAAAGAGAACAUACUCCAACUCUCCUCCUUUUGCCUACAGUUAGGAAACAAAGUCCAUCUUCAGCUGCCAUAACCUCCCAAAGAAAGUAAGUGUGUAGUCUCCAAUUUAAAAAAUUACAAAACUCCGCUUGCUGUGACAGAAUAAAAGACAGCCAAAGUAAAGCAAUUUCUUUCAAGUUUGUUUUUUUUUUUUGUCUCCCAUCCCUUUUCGCUCUAGAAAAAUCUGCUCACAUGACUGGAGAACAAAUUAUAAAACACAUCCAACUUCAACCUAGUCAAAAAAUGGGUUAAAAGCCUUUUUUCACCGUUACCAAAAAGGCUCUUUAUUUUCUCAGCCACGGGGACAAUACAAAUUAAUAUUUAUCAGCCCCUCUCGUCGCUUUUAAAACAGUGAACGUACGGCAGUUUAAAAAAAUCAGACUGCUGUAUCUACCUAUCCUAAGUACAAAAAAAAAUUCAACAGUUUAAUGCUAAAACAAAAUUAGUUCUCUAAAACCAGAAGAAAAUCUUCUUUAGAGCUAGUGCAAAGACAGCUUGUAUUCUACAGCAAGUACUCCAAACUAUGGUAUAAUAAUUACAAAAAAUAUAUAUAAAUUGACAAAAUGAGAGUGUUGGCAUCUUCAGGAUUAACUUGAAGCACUUUUGGAUGAACUGGAGGAUGAAAGCCUGGAUGAUGGCACGUCGACUGUCGCUCUCUUCCGAGGUCCUCUUUUUGGUGUGGGCUUGCUGAUACAGUUCUCAAUGCUGCCAUUUUUACCAGAUACUUUUCCACAGAUUUGAUUGACCAGACUGAUUAUUUGUUCCUGUUCAGGAAGUGGGAAAACAAAACACAAAUGAGAAUCCUUCCUUUUUCUGGGCUCCUCUGUUUGACAGAGCGGCUUAGUGCCAUCCUUUGGCUGAUGGCACCUAGGACCAGGGGGAAAUAGCUGCUGCUUUGCAAACUGACUGCACAGCAGCCCGUACAACCACAUGUUACUAUUUCACAGUUGGGGUUUAGCUAAAAAGCACUGCAUCGUAUCUAGAGUGGUGCCCCUGCUGUAGUUUCCUGGCUCUGAAUGCAAAGUCAGCGAUGGGUGACAGGACUGCGCUGGGCUGAGCUCUGGGCUGCAGAGAUGCAGCUCAGCAGAGCCAAAACUUUGCUGCAGAUGCAAUUCAAGGCCACUGCUGAACAAAGUAAUCAGUGCCGUGAACUUAAAUCUGCAGGUGACAACACUUGCUAGCUGCUGUUUACUGAAUAUUUAUUUAAAACUUAGGGAGAAGGUCCUGCUUUCCCCUAUCGAGAUUGUUGUCAUUUGUUACAGGAUGCUAUUUUCCUUUACUGCUUUUUAGGAUCUCUGGAUGCCCCAAGGGCUCCAGGCCAGUGCUUGGUGCCACACAGGACUAAAGGCGCUAUGGAUCCGUGGUACUGCAUUAAGAACAAGACAGGAGUCCCUGAACAGCACAGCACAGCGCCUGCGCUGCACCACCGCCCCUGCUCUCACUGCAGUCAGUGGUUCAGUGAAGUCUGGGGUGGGGGGGAAUGUCCCCUCCUGGCAGGAAUCUUAAGAAGUUGGUUGUGGGCAAAGCGCAGCUAACAGUUAAAUAGGUUUAACAGAUGGCAUUUGACGUGCAGGCUCUCUCUCUCUCCCUAUUCACAGCUCUCCAAAAAAAUUAUGUAACAUCCAGCAGGCAUACACCGAGUAUCCUUCAGAAGUGCAGAAAUUGAGAGAGUCUUUUCAUUUGGGGAAGAAAUAUUAUCCAGUAUUGAAGGAGAGAUUUUUCCUUCCCCAAUGUAGCCCCAAAUCCCUACUUUGUAAUUAUAAAACCAGCCAUUACUUUAUGUGGCGCUGAUUAAGAGUGGCUCUGAAACCCUCAAUAGAGUCAUCAGUUCUGUGAGGACCCAAGAUAUAAGAGCCUAAAUAAGCCCAAGAAUUAGAGAAAUAUAUUUAAAUUUCCAAGAAGCCUCCUGGCACUCCUCAGUGUAUAUACCACGUUACAAGCCAGUUCCUCUGUUGCCUGGACAUCCUAGACUGUACCUGCUUGUAGCUACAGCACCUGAUAGUGCAACGGAGCCCACAAUGAAAACCAAAGACAGCCAGAGUGGCACAACAUCUCCAAACCUUCUCUUUUUUUUUUGCCCCUCUGGACCUCUGUGCACAUCAGAAGCUGCUGAGACAUCCGCCUCAGAGCUGCUUGUAUCAGCACUGCUCUCAAAGAGCCAACUUUGUAAAUUCUCCCACUGCGCCCCUACCCACGGCUCAGGCUAACAAACAGCCCCUCCUCUGUCCAUCCCACCCCCAAACACAGUUUUUCCACAGAUGGUGCUAAGUGGGCACGUAAGGAGCACUGUUUGACUGCACCGCAAUGCAGCAUUUGCCCAAAAUCCAGGCCCAGUCCUCAAUCACCGCCGUGAGUUCUGUGCUCGUUAUCUGUCUGCAGACUGACUCCCAGCCAUUACCGGGCCUCUCAUCUACAAGGACUCCGUGAGCUCACUUAAAACAGCAGCAAAAGAGAAAAGCUGUGACGAUAGCACACAAACCUCAUCAUAGCGGUACAUCAUUUUCAAUCCCCGACAAGACUUCUGUUUCUCCACAUGCCGCAGGGCACACUCCAAGCAGAAGACAACAUUUUCGUUCUCCUGUACAACCUACCAAAAUAUAAACAGGUGGGGGAAAUGCAGUGAGCUCCAAGCUGAAGCCGGGUUAUGGACACAGUCUUUUCCUUUGUGAUGUAUCAUUAUACCUAUAUAUCACUAUAAAUCAGCAAAGGGGGAAGUAAACAAGAUGCACACACAUUGUGACAUGAGUGCUAAUGCUGGCAAAUACUUACCAAUUAAAAAACACCAGCAGCAAUGAAGGAUAAAUCUAAUUAAUGUUACAUGUAUAAAGCCUUACUUGGUAUCUAAUGUGUGUCCUAAAAGCUUCUUGAAAGCAGCAGUUUCACAUAACUUUAAAUGUUGCCUCAAGUCCAAACAAAACCAGCAGUGUGGCCACAGGACGCCUAGCUGCUGUCUGAGCCAGCAGAGGUCACACUCAGCUGCUGGCUGCCACACCUACAAGUUCAGCCUGGAAGUGAGUUGGUUGCCUUCCUGUCCCUUACCGCCGUUAUGAAUGACAAAGUAAAAUCAUCUCCUUGAUUACAUUUACAUGACUUCAUUGUCUCUGCAGCAAGCUGAACAGAGUCAGAGUUUUUGGUUGCUUCAGGUUUUUUGUUUGUUUGUUUGUUAACAACUCAUUUUGAAGUUACUUCAAACCAGUGCUGUUUAAACGUGUCUUAGCUGCUCUAAGCAGCACAUUCUGUCCUAGGGAGAGAAACAGCUACAUCUCAUCAUUUAACAUCACAUUUCCAUUAAAAAAUAAUAUUUAUGUUGGAAGAAACCCAAGGAUUACAGGAAAAAAAGGACUGAAUAUGGAGAUGCUGUAUCGUAUUUAUUUAAAUGUUUAAUCUUGGCAUUAGAUGGUGCAGAGAGCUGUAGGAAGGGCUUUUUGUGUUUUUCAUGAAAUUGCCCUAGUUAUGAUUGUUCUGCCCACAGCUAAGAACCUGACCACCGCCACAGUGGCCAGCAGGCCUUUACAAGCAGUAGGCAGCUGCUUCUGACAAAGUUACGCGUGUGACUUUCUGUUUUCAGACAGAGGUUGUCAAACAGCAUCUCAGCUCGACAAGUAGGGGACAUCCAGGGCAACCAGCAGCAUGGGCUGCGUGCCUGCAGCUCGGGGUAUACGUUGUUGUUGCUUGCUCAUCCUGGGAAGUGUUGUGCCAUGACUUACUGCUAUUGGCAAACUACAGAUACCUUCACUACCUCUUUGUGCAUUGCAGACAUGUUUGUGGGUAUCUGAAAGUGGCUCAGACGUCUCCUUCAGUCCUUUCUUCCUUACGGGGGGAAGCUAGCUGACGCUAACCCUUGUCUUCUGUCACUGCUACCUAAGGUGACACCGGCAGCCUAUGCGAUGUGCCUGAGAUGAUUCCGGAGUCAUGCAUUUUCUCUCCAAUGCUUACAGUCUAUCGCAGCGUGUUGUAAACAGAACAGGGGCCACGAUACCCCAGCAGUGGUUCAGGACUAUACUCACCAUGGACAGAUAGCACAGGUGCUGACAAAUCUGACAUCUCCUCUCUGACGUUUCUAACUGCAACCACUUUCGAGGCUUUUUCUUUCCAUCCAUCGCCGUGCUGCUGCUGUCGUGGCUGCCAUAGCGCGCCGAGGAGUGGAGACCUGCCUCGUAAAGCUGCCGCCGCUGCCUCAGCUCCGUGUCCCUGUGAACAUUGGAUACAAUCAGAAACCAGCAGUUCCUCGUAGCACCACAAAGCCAACCACAGUCACCCUUUUACCACCAUUGUCACUGAAACCGUAACUGCACACAGCAAAGCCCUGAGUGUUGCUGGAGGUUGGUGCCAUACCCUAUGCAUGCUGAGAGCCAGCCAGCACCACAGGAACGCUGCCUAACUGCAAAAGGUGACCACUGUAUCAAGCCAGUGGUUCUCAAACUGCUCCACAAAGCACUGGGGGCUGCCGAGUACUUCCUUGAGGUCGGUGGGUGCCCGGGGCGUGUGGAGAGCUGAGCCAUGUGGCUGACAACACGGCUGCCUUUCCUGAAGUUGCCAAAAGCCACCUUGAGGAGGAGGAGCCGUUGCCCCCAGGAGUAACACAGCCACCUUCAGCAAGAGGCCAGAGAACCAAGGAUCUGCUGCCAGGAGGUGCUUCACGCAGGAAAGGGGGGAGCAGGGCAAGCGGCUGUGCCAAAAGACGAAGACCUUGCUGCAUACCCAGGGGAAAAAGAAGGAGAUAUCAACUAAGAACAACCACUGAGCCCUCAGGCCGCCCUCCACCCGCUGUGUGUGCAAGGUGGUCAGCGCGUCCUGUACAGAACUGUACAGCAUUGCGGGAGCAGGUCGGGCCGGAGCAGCAUGGAGUGAGCUGAGCAGAUGGAAGGGGAGAAUAGAGACGCUCACCACCAGACACAGUCGAAGAUGGGUGGAGAGCCAUGCUAAGCAAAUGGCAUGGCAGGUCAGGAGAGGAGGCAGCAAGACACAGAACAAACAAAACAGAACAGAGAAAAAAAAUAUAUGGUGCAUUGUUCCGCUUUAGUUGUGCUUUUCAGGUUUGGGGUUUUGUUUUACAUAAGCAGCCAUGGGAAGAACUGAUAUUCUCCAGAGAAUUCCAACCUCAUUAUAAGAACAAGUUUGAGAACCACUCUGAUAGAGGUCGAUGUGAUCUCUUACAGCGAGCACCAACAUCUCUGUUUCACCUUUCACACUUGCAGACUUUUCCUCUUCAAGGAAAAAAAGUGCGCAUGGAAGUGAUUAUUCCUGCAGGGGAACCAGCUGCAGGUAAAGCAGUCAGCACACCUGGGAGGGGGAGUCAGCACACCUCUUUGUAUUUCUUUCUGAACACUAAAACAACACAUGGGCUGUAUUCCCCUUCAAUAUGUCACUGGAAACUUUCCAAAUGAACAUGCUAGUUAGUUAAAUACAGUUUGUAGAUUCCAUUCAUCAAAACUUUCUUGGCAUCUCGAGUACCAGUUGUCACAAACUUGAAAGAUAGGUAGCAACUACAUGGUAGGGAACAAAAGAGAAGAACAUUACACAGGAAGCCAGGCAACAUCAUAUUUUCCAUUUUACCUAUCUUAAGAGAAACCCUAAGCAUUUCCUUAAUCACUGUGGAGAGAAAAAGGAACGUGAAACUUUUGUUCUUAAGUGCUCACAUGCAUAUAAGCUGCUCACUGACUGGUUUAAGAAAAAACUAUCUCACUGCAUACAAAGUACGUUCUACAACUGCAGCAUACAACCUUGGCACUGAGGACAAGGGUUCCUGCUGCAAAACCCACACUACUGGCAUGGAUUGACAGUGGUUACCGAUGCCAAGAGGUUAAAAACUAAGUGGCACUUAACUGCUUGGCACCGUGUAGACCACAAAGCACAUCAGGAAAUCUUGACUCUCAGCACCAAGGAUCAACGAAAUAAAAACCCAAGCUAAUCCGUACUUUAAUUCUUUGACGGUGCCAGAAGUAUGGAAUUCUUAGAGUAAGACAUCCUAACCACGGGCACCCUCACAUCAGCCAAGGAAACUGCUUCUUCCACAUGUGGCUGUCUUCAAAUAGACUUGCUUGGUUAAGUAGGUGCGAGAUAACGUGUCUAAAAUGGUUACUUACAUUAUCCGCCUCUGGAGUCUGUCAAUGAAAAGAAAAUAGGUACAACAGGCCCCGAUUCUUUACCUGAGCUCCCCAAGAAGUGAUGAUAUCGUACUCAGAGUCGGUCCAUUUUCCUUUUUUGCUUCUGCUGUUGCAAUCUGAUAAAGCAACUUUUCCAUUGAAAAUGGUUUGGCUAUACGUCGCCUCUUCAUUUCCUGAGACAGAAAGCUCCAAAUUAGUUCUUCAGAACAAAAAUGCUAUCCAGGAUUAAUUCAGUGUAGCACAAAGUAGCCUUCUAAAAGAACAAAAAGUAAAAGUUUUCCGUAGUCCAAGUUAAGCAAAGCAUUUAUGCUCCUAAUUGAGAGCCAGCUUACAACCAACUUCGCACUGAAAUAAAGGCUAGUUAUAAAUCAGACCUUUCCGUGGAAAGCCAAGUACCCAAACGCUUUGCUGAACUGGACCCUCUUUCUGUUGGAAGGACUAAGAAAAAAGAUUUUCUACACAUGCUUUAAAGUGAUGCCACAGAAUAAAACUAACACCUAAACCAAAUACGUUUAUAUGCAAUGCACUAUUGCUACUCAGCUAUUGAGUUAAGAUCUCUUCUGACCUGCUGGAGGCCCAAGACUGUCAUCACUCUUCAUCUUCAUCAGCACAAGAUACCAGAGGUGGUUAAGAAAUACAGACAACAGCCACAGAACAGGCAGAUGCCAAGGAAAGGAGACAACUGGCAGAAGAGUGAGCGUCACUUCUGUUCAGUUCUGCCUUGUACCGGCUGCUCUCUGCAGAAGCUGUUGAAGUUUGGCCUUUUGUCCCCAUCAAAGUGAACUGAGUGAUUUUAGUAGCUUCAGCCCUUCUUGUAUUUCUUAUGUAGGUAAAUUACUUGAAUUACUCUGCAACUGGAAGAAGCCUGAAGUUUCCCUAUGUCUGAAGAGGCAUACGUUGUUUUAUAAAGCCUGAGAAUCUUCAAAUGACACUAAUGCUGGAGUGUAAUGUGAAGGUGCCAUUCUGUUACUAGUUCAGCACCCACUCCCCACAGACAAAAAAGAUUCAUCUUCAACCUCAAAAUUUUAACCCUGUCGUAAUCCUCUCACACACUCUUGUACUUCUUUCGUCAGAACCAAUGCACCAUUUUAUAAGAGCACAGACUGCAUGCAUUGAAAUGAUACCGAGAUCUAUCCUAACAUAAAUUAAUAACCUUUGCUGACCCCAAAGCAUCCAAAGGAUGUUCACAGUGUUGUUACACAUGAGCC